UACGGGGGGAGCAAGCGUUGUUCGGAUUUACUGGGCGUAAAGGGCGCGUAGGCGGCCACCGCAAGUCAAUUGUGAAAUCUCCGGGCUUAACUCGGAAAGGUCAACUGAUACUGCGGGGCUAGAGUGCGGAAGGGGCAACUGGAAUUCUCGGUGUAGCGGUGAAAUGCGUAGAUAUCGAGAGGAACACCUGCGGCGAAGGCGGGUCGCUGGGCCGACACUGACGCUGAGGCGCGAAAGCCAGGGGAGCGAACGGG
rnacentral:rRNA from 1 species